UACGUAGGGUGCAAGCGUUGUCCGGAAUUAUUGGGCGUAAAGAGCUCGUAGGCGGUUUGUUGCGUCGGCUGUGAAAUCCCGAGGCUCAACCUCGGGUCUGCAGUCGAUACGAGCAAACUAGAGUGUUGCAGGGGAGACUGGAAUUCCUGGUGUAGCGGUGAAAUGCGCAGAUAUCAGGAGGAACACCGGUGGCGAAGGCGGCUUUCUGGACAGAUACCGACGCUGAGGCACGAAAGCUAGGGGAGCAAACAGG
rnacentral:rRNA from 1 species